CCCAGAGCAGCUGUGGCUGCCCCUGGAUCCCUGGCAGUGCUGGACAGGCUUGGGGCACCCUGGGAGAGUGGAAGAUGUCCUUGUUCACAGUCCUUGUGCACAGCACAGGAGCUGGAACAAGAUGAUCUUUGAAAUCCCUUCCAACCCAAACCAUUCUGUCAUUCUGUGAACUCCUUGUAAGGUCAGCAAAGGAUCUGGAACAAAUCAGGAGUUCCAUUCCACUCUUUGUACAGCUCCAAGUGAUUUCCAGUAUCACUGAGCCCAAACUCAGGCUGCACAACCCUCUGGGUCUCAUUGCAGCCCUUGGCAUUCAAGGCUGAGAGCCAGGGUUGUGUUACUGCCCAAACACACUCCCUGCAUCAGCAGCUUCCAAAGCAGAGGAAAGAAAAGCAAAAAAAUAAUUAUCCAUCCCUGCCUGCCCUUUCCAAAUGAUGGCAAAUUGAGUAAUGAGAUCAUUUGCUGUUCCUUUUCACUCUGGGAUAUUUCUUGCUCUGCUGAAGAUAUCCAGGUGACCUUAGCAGUUAAAAUCCAGUGACUCUGCCAAAGAAAACUUCCAGCAUCUCAAACUUCCCCUGUUGCAUUUCAGGUGUGACCCUUUUCUGGUCACAUUUGUGGGAAUCACGUCCUCUACCUUCUUUCCUUUCUUCCCACCUUGAGUUUCAGUGCAGAUCUGUUUGUGUGUUCUGUAAAUGUGGUGACUUUGCUUGCUUUCCUGUCAGCCCAGCCUGCAGCCAGGGCCCAGCUUUGUUUGGACAAACAUCUGGAUGUUUUUCUGUUUGCAGUUGUGGCUCUGGGUGAACCCACAGCUGAGAGUGAAACUCCAAACCAUGCUAUGAGGAGAUGCUAACUAGGGGUGUGCAACAGGUUGGAAAUCAGGAGGAAUUUCUUCAUGGAAAGGGUGGUCAGGAGGUGCUGGAGGUGUCCAAGGAAGGGCUGGAGCUGGCACUCAGUGCUCUGGGCUGCUGACAAGCUGGGGAUGGGUCACAGAUUGGAUUUGAUGAUCUUGGAGCUCUUUUCCAACUUUUAUGAUUCUGUGAACUGUGGUUAGGAAGAAAAAUCAUUACUGUAAGCUUAUUAGCAUUUUGAAUGGACUGGAAAACUGCUGCAGUAUUUUUGUCUUUUUGAUCAGGUUAUUAAUAAAUAUCAAGGUCUUUCAGGUGCUGCCAUCUCGGUCAGUAAAUCCCUGUCUGAAAUCAGGAUGGGGCUCUUGGUGCUGCCCUUCUCCAGCUAAAAGACAUGUCAGUGCCAGCUGCCAAACUGCUGUUGAAUAAAUGAAAUUAAUUAAACACAGGAAUGGCCAAGGCACAGCCCUGCACGGCCUUCUGGUGUCUGCAGCUGUGUGAUGUGGAUUUUCUCUUGUGGGCUGACCCUAAAGGAAGCAGCAGAUUGUGUAGAAAAAGUGAAUGGGGCAGUGUGCCUGUGUCAGAGCUAUUGUUCCAGGCUCUCUGCAGCCUCAGGAAGGCAUCACUUAGAGCAGGCAGGAGGGAUUUCUGUAACUCCACAAAACUCUGGAGUGCAGGAGAUUUUAUUGAAUCCUUGGGUUCUGAUCUUACAAGAAAUCUCAAGGAAUUGAAGCCUGCUUAUGUUUUACUUUGGCUUAGAUCAAGGCUAUGCCAGAUACCAACAAUCAAACCAUAAAAUCCAUACCCUGAAAUAUUCUCUGAGUGAAUAAACAGCCUUUAAA